UUUUUGUUAAGGUUUUGAAACGUCAUUUGGCUGCCUGGGGCAGCACUUCCUCAGUGCAAAUUGCCUAGUAGCAGAGCCAUCAAUGGAACAGAACAAGAACAACAAGCUAGGGGACAGCGAGCUGGAAAGAGAUGCAGGUGAUAGUUGAGCUUACAGUGACUCCAGAUAUUCCAGGUACCGGAGUCCCAAGAAGAAUAUAACGUUAUUAAAAAGGGAUUUCGUUUGAAGUGGAAUUUUCCCAAAUGUUACAGUGAGAUUGAUGGGAAACAUGGGACGAUUCAUGCACCGGCAAAUUGUGGCAGUGAAUUCUUUAAUUAUAAGGGUACUAACAGCAUUAUUUUAUUAGCUCUGGUAGAUGACAACUAUUGUUUUUCCUAUAUAAAUGUUGGAUGUCCUGGAAGACAAUCCGAUGUUGAAGUUUUCCAACAAUCAUCUCUAUUUGAAGCUAGAGAAUGGUUUAUUAUCACAUGAUGGUUUCAGUUUAGGUGACGAUGCAUUUGCACUGAAAACGUAUUUGAUGAAACCGUAUUCAAAAGUAGCACUUUCGGAAAAUCAGAAAAUAUUCAAUUACCGCCUUUCGCGGGCAAGACGAAUAGUAAAAAAUGCUUUCGGAAUUUUGCUUAGCAGAUUUCGCAUUUUUGAAAAGCCUAUGGCAUGCUUACCAGAAACUGUGGACAAAAUUAUUAAGGCCUGUUACGCAAUACACAAUUAUUUGCAAAUCACUUCUCAUAACACUUACACACCAAGUGGAUCGUUAGAUAAAGAAGAUGUAGAAAGCGGACAGGUUAGACUAGGUUCGUGGAGAUAUGAAACUAAUACUCCCUUGCCGUCAAUAAGAACCUUAGGGGGUAAUCAUUCUUCAAGAUGUGCAAGAGAACUACGAGAUCGACUUUGCCAGUACUUUAUGGGCGAAGUUGCGGUGCCUUGGCAGCAACGGAUGAUAUUUUGACUGUACUUUAAUAUACAUAAUAUAAUAUGGAAAUUAUUGUUCGG
rnacentral:misc_RNA from 1 species